rnacentral:tmRNA from 1 species
GGGGGUGAACGGUUUCGACUUCGGAUGUCGAACCAGGGGAAGCGGGUCGAGGAGGCCGGGAUGAGCUCGUUAACCAUGCCCGGCAAACCAAUAGGUGCCAAUUCCAACCGCACCGCGUACGCCCUCGCCGCCUGAGGCUAGGUAACGUGCGCUGUCAGCCCGGGGUCGCUCCCGACCCGGUGUCUGGCAUCAGCUAGGGAGCUUUACCGUCGCGCCCGGUCACGGGGCGCGUAGGGACAUCUCACAGUGACUGAGCCCGUCGGCGACUUGCCUGCGUGAUCGCCGGGGCUGAGAAAAGCACAGCAGGCUGCACCCGGAGAAGCCCUGGAACGGUGACGAAGGACGCGGGUUCGAUUCCCGCCACCUCCACUC